GGCUUCAAUCUAACCACGCCGCUGGAUCGAGAGAGAGGGGGUUGAGAGUGGAGUCAGGCGGCGGCUUGGAGCAUAGCAACUAUGGCCUCCGGCCGAUGGAACACAACAGUCUUUGCCCCAGACUCCUCCCCUUACCCGUUGUCCAACUGCGGAAGAUCCCCCGUCUCCGGUUUCUCCAAAAUUGAGGUCAGACACAACAAGUAGGGGCAGUUCCUCAACGACGCCAACACGAUGGGCUUCUUGGUAUCCGUCGCAGAGGUUGCCGACGACACGGAGCUCCAUCAAGGGCAGAUGCCAUACAUGGACAUUCCUUUCUGGUUUACUGCCUACCUCUGCCCCUGCUCCCAUGUCCCCUCCGUGCUCUAAGCGAGAUCCAGCACCGCGGUCUACCUUCUACGCGUGUUGUGCUGCCGGUGUCCAUCGUGAGGGCGAGCAAUGCCCCCCACGCCACCCUUUCCACUAUCGUCCUUCAGGUCUGGCGUAUCCAUGCCUUUAAGCUCCUGCUCUACCCCGAGCUGGUAACCUUCAAGCUGCACGGGAGCAACGCCGAGAGUGAUCUGCAGCCGCGGUCCUCUCUUCUCCUUCCUACGAGUGCCCAAAGGAGGUCGUCAUCGCCGUGUAUUGAGCAGGCACUGGACGGAGAGCUAUUGUACAACUCUGUGAUCUACUAACACCUCGGUGAGCAGCGAUAGCUGCAGUAGGAUAUCUGAAUCCGCCACGCCCCUGUCUGGUCCCAGGAGGAGUAAUCUGAUCCAAGACACACUGGUGAAGCUUAAGGCGGUUUAUACGCUUGUUGAGCAAUUAUACACUGGAGCUCAGCGGACUCCCGCUACUAUCUCCCCAACAAAUCAAGGACCAAAUUUGUUAAGUGAUGUCUUCAAGAAACUAUCCAUAUUAACCACCAGGUUUCAGGAAAUCAAACGGUCUUGUGCUAGAGCCGGAGCUGUAACAUCCUUGAGCUGUGCCAAAGCAUGGGUACCUGAACUAGACCCGGCCGACGUAGCUAGUGGGUAUCCUAGUCUCAAGGAAGAUGGAACCUCUUUUGACCAACAAGACUUUGCCUCCUGUGUCAAAGAGAUUCAUCCACAUGCAACAAUCAUCGCUGAAGAGACCAACCUCACCAAGUACCAGCUGGGUUACGAUGAAGAUAAUCAGAAGAUGCAGACUCCUUCAUAUAAAGAGAUGGACUUAAUUCCGCUAAUUCGUCCAAACCCAACUUCCAGACGGUGGAGGAGGAAGAAGAACCACAAGGGAUGAAUCGCAACCUGCAAGCCAGCCAGGCCAAGAUUCAUGAACUGGGGCCGGUUUAUCAUCUGCUGUAGGCAAGACUUAAUUUUUUUAUCCUUUUGGGCACCAAGCGCCUUGUAAUAGGCUACCUUUAAACUCUUAUUCUGCUAUACCAUCGUGCACAUUUUGCUGUUCAUGAUACUAUUCAUCCGUCAUGUAAGA